rnacentral:rRNA from 1 species
UUGACGGGGCCCGCACAAGCGGAGGAACAUGUGGUUUAAUUCGAUGAUACGCGAGGAACCUUACCUGGGCUUAAAUGUAGAGUGCAUUUUUUAGAGAUAGAAAUUCCCUUCGGGGCUUUCUGCAAGGUGCUGCAUGGUUGUCGUCAGCUCGUGCCGUGAGGUGUCGGGUUAAGUCCCAUAACGAGCGCAACCCUUAUCGUUAGUUGCCAGCUGGUAAAGCAGGGGACUCUAGCGAAACUGCCACCGUAAGGUGAGAGGAAGGUGGGGAUGACGUCAAAUCAGCACGGCCCUUAUGUCCAGGGCUACACACGUGUUACAAUGGCCGGCACAGAGGGCAGCUACCUGGUGACAGGAUGCUAAUCUCGAAAACCGGUCUCAGUUCGGAUCGAAGUCUGCAACUCGACUUCGUGAAGCUGGAUUCGCUAGUAAUCGCGCAUCAGCCAUGGCGCGGUGAAUACGUUCCCGGGCCUU